AUCUGGCACAAUUCGGUUGCUGCUAGUUGGAAAAUAGAAGAAAAAUGGCAGGAGUUUUACUGAGACCAGGUUGUUUAAGGGUUUCAGCUUUAAAGACUUUCAACAGAUUUUACUCUGCAAGUGGAGCGCCAACAACCAAGUUAUUCAUUGAUGGAAAAUUUGUGGAAUCUAAGACAAACAAAUGGAUUGACGUUCAUGAUCCUGCAACAAAUGAGGUGGUGACUCGGGUCCCAGAGUCAACACAGGAUGAAAUGGAGGCCGCGGUGGCGUCCUGUAAGAGGGCAUUCGAUGAUUGGUCACUGCUGGAAUCACCCCAUUCAACUUCCCUGCCAUGAUUCCUCUGUGGAUGUUCCCCAUGGCCCUUGUCACAGGCAACACCAGUUUGAUGAAGCCCUCCGAGCGUGACCCCGGGGCCUGUAUGAUGCUGAUGGAGCUGGUCAAAGAGGCUGGAUUCCCGGACGGAGUUGUCAAUGUCAUUCAUGGCAGACACGAUUCUGUUAACUUUAUUUGUGAUCACCCUGAAAUCAAGGCAAUAUCUUUCGUGGGAUCUGACCAGGCGGGACAAUACAUCUACGAGAGAGGAUCAAAGAAUGGCAAGCGAGUGCAGUCCAACAUGGGAGCCAAGAACCAUGGUGUGAUUAUGCCAGAUGCAAACAAAGAAAAUUGUCUGAACCAGUUGGUGGGUGCAGCCUUUGGUGCAGCGGGUCAGAGAUGCAUGGCCCUGUCCACAGCUGUGUUUGUUGGGGAGGCCAGAAACUGGAUCCCAGAACUGGUGGAGAAGGCCAAGAAACUGAAGGUCAAUGCUGGUCAUGAGCCAGGAGCAGACUUGGGGCCUGUCAUUUCCCCGGAGGCCAAGCAGAGGGUCUGUGACCUGGUGCAGUCUGGUAUUGACCAGGGGGCCAAAAUCCUGCUGGACGGAAGAGAUGUCAAAGUGCCAGGGUACGAGAAGGGUAACUUUGUAGGACCAACCAUUCUACACUACGUAAAGCCCGAGAUGAAAUGUUACACUGAGGAAAUCUUUGGACCAGUUCUGGUGAGCAUGGAGGUUGACACCCUGGAUGAUGCCAUUAAACUGAUCAAUGCUAAUCCCUACGGCAACGGCACCGCCAUCUUCACGACCAAUGGCGCCACUGCUAGGAAAUACACUAUGGAGAUCGAUGUGGGACAGGUCGGUGUUAAUGUCCCUAUCCCUGUGCCUUUGCCAAUGUUUUCCUUCACUGGAUCCAGGGGGUCCUUCCGAGGGGACAUGAACUUCUAUGGAAAAGCUGGUGUCCAGUUUUACACACAACUGAAGACAGUGACCCAGAUGUGGAGGUCGGACGAUGCUACAUUGUCUGGCUCUCAGACGGCCAUGCCAGUCAUGAGAUAGACUUAAGGGCAGCAGAUGUUUCCACUGAUUACUGAUCAAAUGAUUCAUUGUUAUAUAUAUUCACCAUAUUUUGUGCUAAAGACUUAAAAGUGCUUAUUUUACGAGUUUCCCUUCACCGCUGUCAUAAUACACACACAAUCAUGUUUCACAGUUGUUAUGUGGACAUUCUAAUCUUUUGAUAUUUGAGCGACUUAUUGUGCAUUUUUUUCUCAGAAAGCAUUGAAUGCUCCUUUUACAUAUGUUAAAUGAAAUAUACAUGUAUAUACACAUAUACAGUGUAUUUAUGUAGAAAUAAACAUGAUUUAAGUAG
rnacentral:misc_RNA from 1 species